AGUCCAAUGAAUUUUGUGCUUGAAAGCUACCCAAAUGAAGCCGGGAUGUGUGUGUCCAAUUUGUGUGUGCAUGAGGCAUGGUGGCCGAGUCAUGGGAAAGUGGACGUGAAUGGCACUUGCAUGGAGAGUCCUUAAAGUGGACGUGAGAUGCAUGGGCUUUACAUGGGCAAUUAAAGUGGACAUGAGAUGCAUGGAGUUUGCAUGGGAGAGUCCACGUGAGAGUGUCACUUGUGCAUGGGAAAUUAGUGGCGCACUAAAG
rnacentral:misc_RNA from 1 species